UACAGAGGGGGCAAGCGUUGUUCGGAAUUACUGGGCGUAAAGGGCUCGUAGGUGGCCAACUAAGUCAGACGUGAAAUCCCUCAGCUUAACUGGGGAACUGCGUCUGAUACUGGAUGGCUUGAGUUUGGGAGAGGGAUGCGGAAUUCCAGGUGUAGCGGUGAAAAUGCGUAGAUAUCUGGAGGAACACCAAUUGCGAAGGCAGCUCGCUGGGACGUUACUGACGCUGAGACGCGAAAAGCGUGGGGGAGCAAACAGGG
rnacentral:rRNA from 1 species